rnacentral:rRNA from 2 species
CUGGAGGUAUCAGAAGUGCGAAUGCUGACAUAAGUAACGAUAAAGCGGGUGAAAAGCCCGCUCGCCGGAAGACCAAGGGUUCCUGUCCAACGUUAAUCGGGGCAGGGUGAGUCGACCCCUAAGGCGAGGCCGAAAGGCGUAGUCGAUGGGAAACGGGUUAAUAUUCCCGUACUUGGUGUUACUGCGAAGGGGGGACGGAGAAGGCUAUGUUGGCCGGGCGACGGUUGUCCCGGUUUAAGCGUGUAGGUGUGUGUUCCAGGUAAAUCCGGUUCACUUUAACACUGAGGCGUGACGACGAGGCACUACGGUGCUGAAGCAACAAAUGCCCUGCUUCCAGGAAAAGCCUCUAAGCAUCAGGUAACACGAAAUCGUACCCCAAACCGACACAGGUGGUCAGGUAGAGAAUACCAAGGCGCUUGAGAGAACUCGGGUGAAGGAACUAGGCAAAAUGGUGCCGUAACUUCGGGAGAAGGCACGCUGACACGUAGGUGAAGUGAUUUACUCA